rnacentral:rRNA from 1 species
GUCCACGCCGUAACGAUGGAUACUAGCUGUUGGGAGCAAUCUCAGUGGCUAAGCGAAGUGAUAAGUAUCCCACCUGGGAGUACGUUCGCAAGAAUGAACUCAAAGGAAUUGACGGGCCCGCACAAGCGGUGGAGCAUGUGGUUUAAUUCGAUGAUACGCGAGGAACCUUACCAAGGCUUAAAUGUAGAUUGACCGAUUUUGGAAACAGAUCUUUCGCAAGACAAUUUACAAGGUGCUGCAUGGUUGUCGU